GUCGAGCGAACGGACGAGAAGCUUGCUUCUCUGAUGUUAGCGGCGGACGGGUGAGUAACACGUGGAUAACCUACCUAUAAGACUGGGAUAACUUCGGGAAACCGGAGCUAAUACCGGAUAAUAUUUUGAACCGCAUGGUUCAAAAGUGAAAGACGGUCUUGCUGUCACUUAUAGAUGGAUCCGCGCUGCAUUAGCUAGUUGGUAAGGUAACGGCUUACCAAGGCAACGAUGCAUAGCCGACCUGAGAGGGUGAUCGGCCACACUGGAACUGAGACACGGUCCAGACUCCUACGGGAGGCAGCAGUAGGGAAUCUUCCGCAAUGGGCGAAAGCCUGACGGAGCAACGCCGCGUGAGUGAUGAAGGUCUUCGGAUCGUAAAACUCUGUUAUUAGGGAAGAACAUAUGUGUAAGUAACUGUGCACAUCUUGACGGUACCUAAUCAGAAAGCCACGGCUAACUACGUGCCAGCAGCCGCGGUAAUACGUAGGUGGCAAGCGUUAUCCGGAAUUAUUGGGCGUAAAGCGCGCGUAGGCGGUUUUUUAAGUCUGAUGUGAAAGCCCACGGCUCAACCGUGGAGGGUCAUUGGAAACUGGAAAACUUGAGUGCAGAAGAGGAAAGUGGAAUUCCAUGUGUAGCGGUGAAAUGCGCAGAGAUAUGGAGGAACACCAGUGGCGAAGGCGACUUUCUGGUCUGUAACUGACGCUGAUGUGCGAAAGCGUGGG
rnacentral:rRNA from 1 species